CACACCUUCCCAGUGUUACACUCCAGGAUGAGGGCUCACCUUCCCAGUGUUACACUCCAGGAUGAGGGCACACCUUCCCAGUGUUACACUCCAGGAUGAGGUGCACACCUUCCCAGUGUUACACUCCAGGAUGAGGGCACACCUUCCCAGUGUUACACUCCAGGAUGAGGGCACACCUUCCCAGUGUUACACUCCAGGAGGAGGUGCACACCUUCCCAGUGUUACACUCCAGGAUGAGGUGCUCACCUUCCCAGUGUUACACUCCAGGAUGAGGGCACACCUUCCCAGUGUUACACUCCAGGAUGAGGUGCACACCUUCCCAGUGUUACACUCCAGGAUGAGGGCACACCUUCCCAGUGUUACACUCCAGGAUGAGGUGCUCACCUUCCCAGUGUUACACUCCAGGAUGAGGGCUCACCUUCCCAGUGUUACACUCCAGGAUGAGGUGCACACCUUCCCAGUGUUACACUCCAGGAUGAGGGCACACCUUCCCAGUGUUACACUCCAGGAUGAGGGCACACCUUCCCAGUGUUACACUCCAGGAUGAGGGCACACCUUCCCAGUGUUACACUCCAGGAUGAGGUGCUCACCUUCCCAGUGUUACACUCCAGGAUGAGGGCACACCUUCCCAGUGUUACACUCCAGGAUGAGGGCACACCUUCCCAGUGUUACACUCCAGGAUGAGGGCACACCUUCCCAGUGUUACAC